CCUUUCUCGUUCCCCGGCCAUCUUAGCGGCUGCUGUUGGUUGGGGGCCGUCCCGCUCCUAAGGCAGGAAGAUGGUGGCCGCAAAGAAGACGGUGACUCUGACAUCAUUAGAAGCAUGCCAGAACAGACUGGUGAAAAGUAAACCUUUUCACCUACAAAAUUUCACCUGCAAACCUUAAACCUGCAAAAUUUUCCUUUAAUAAAAUUUGCUUGUUUUAAAAACAUUGU
rnacentral:lncRNA from 1 species